AUUGAACGCUGGCGGCAGGCCUAACACAUGCAAGUCGAACGAGUGGCGGACGGGUGAGUAAUGUCUGGGAAACUGCCUGAUGGAGGGGGAUAACUACUGGAAAAGGUAGCUAAUACCGCAUACCAUCGGAUGUGCCCAGAUGGGAUUAGCUAGUAGGUGGGGUAAAGGCUCACCUAGGAGACGAUCCCUAGCUGGGCAGAGAGGAUGACCAGCCACCCUGGAACUGAGACACGGUCCAGACUCCUACGGGAGGCAGCAGUGGGGAAUAUUGCACAAUGGGCGCAAGCCUGAUGCAGCCAUGCCGCGUGUAUGAAGAAGGCCUUCGGGUUGUAAAGUACUUUCGGCGUGGAGGCGUUACCCGCAGAAGAAGCACCGGCUAACGCCGUGCCAGCAGCCGCGGUAAUUC
rnacentral:rRNA from 1 species